rnacentral:rRNA from 1 species
UCAUUAUCAUACAAUAGAGGUGUCGGGGUUGUCGCUAACUUUUAAAAAGGGUUGUGCACACCUCGGUGCUCUCAUAUAAUCCAUCUCACCCCUUUUGUGCAUCUCCGCGUGGGGGCCCCUUUUUAGCUAGUUCUAAGGGGGGUAUUCACGUUUUUUUGUUUUGUUUUACACAGACACCCUUUUAAUGCAAUGUGCAGAAUGUCUUACUUUUUGCGAUCACACGCAAUCAAUACAACUUUCAACAACGGAUCUCUUGGCUCUCGCAUCGAUGAAGAACGCAGCGAAAUGCGAUACGUAAUGUGAAUUGCAGAAUUCAGUGAAUCAUCGAAUCUUUGAACGCACCUUGCGCCCUUUGGCAUUCCGAGGGGCACACCCGUUUGAGUGUCGUGACAUCCUCAAAACCUUCUUGGUUUCUUGACCGGGAAGGCUUUGGACUUUGGAGGCUUUUUGCUGGCUUUCCUUUGUUGGAGCCAGCUCCUCUGAAAUGAAUUAGUGGGGUCUGCUUUGCCGAUCCUUGACGUGAUAAGAUGUUUUCUACGUCUUGGGUUUCGCACUGUUUGCUCUGGAUCCUGCUUCUAACUGCCUCANAGAAGACAAUGGUCAAGUGAUUGCCACUUGACCCACAAACCUUGACCUCAAAUCGGGUGAGACUACCCGCUGAACUUAAGCAUAUCAAUAAGCGGAGGAAAAGAAACUAACAAGGAUUCCCCUAGUAACUGCGAGUGAAGCGGGAAAAGCUCAAAUUUAAAAUCUGGUGGUCUUUGGCCAUCCGAAUUGU